ACGAGUAGAAUUAUUGGAAUUGACUUCCCCUUGGAGAAAACAUAAUUCUUCAAAAUUUUUCCGAGUGCACAUCGCGUUUUCCGGAAUAAUGCGGUGGCUCAAAGUUUUCUUUGUGGUUCUCAUCACUGUCAUUUCGAUGGAUUUUGGUUCAACUGCAAUGUUCUCCGACCUUAAUACAACAUGCAAACAGAAUGAACACUGCACUGACUGGUGCCUGUACGUGUACAAAAAGAACGUCAAACCCCGCUGCACAGACGGCAGUUGCCUGUGUUAACCCUUAUUUUUGCCGCAGUUACUAAAAAAAGAAUCCUGACAGGGGGAUGUCGUUGGAAAUAUAUUUCGGGAGUGAUGAAUAAUGUUGUGCGACUGUUUAUAAAUGCAUCGGUGAGUAAAUGUGAAGUCUUGAAUUGGGGAAUUUUAAUGUUACAUUGAGUUGUUAAAACGUAACAACUGAAGCAAAAGAACAUCCACACCCUACCGAUCGUAUAUUAUUUUACUUUCCCAUUAACAAAAAACCACCCCCCU